AAGACAAGAGAAGGCAUACCCUGGGGACCCUUUGAAUUUGCUUGGUUAUUUCUUCCUUCUCUUAGCCAGUCACCUUUACAGCACAUGGGUGCUGGAAGGUCCUGAGCUGGAGACCUUACUCUCCAGCUAAGUACAAUGAGGGUGACCCACGUGGCCAGGACUACCUUCUGAUUGGUAGCUGAGAGGAGGGUAUGGUCUGCAUUGCACAAUGCUGAGCUGCCUGCUGGCCUGUUCUCUCCUGUCUUGCUAGGACUCAUUGUUCAGGGAGUGACCAGCCUUGUUCGGAGUGCCAGCAUUCUUCAUGUGUCAUCCAGUGUCCUUUCCUAACCUGAGCAUUGGUCAACAGCACUUUGUGUCCGAAAGCGUGGCCCUCAGCCCUCGGAAAGUCCCUAGCUGGUGGGACUGUGGGUUGGUAGUGCCUCUGGCCAAGAGAGCAGUUUAUGUGCAGAAUCACAGGUUUCCAGUGACGGUUACAAAUAGAAGAGAGACCUCCAGACCACAGCUCUCACGCUAGACGGGGCUUCGGAUCCUCUGUUUGGAACUGUUCUUGUUACAGACGGCAAGCUGCAGCUCUCAAAGGUGGAAGAUGCAUUGCCUAGAACGAUGGCUGUUGAUAAUUACCAUUGACGGUGCAACAAAGGAAAUCUUCCCUUGUUCCUACCCAACAAGCUCAACACCAGGUUAAUAAAUGCAUAAGCCUGGAGUUUAAUAAAAACAAAAACAAUUAUUAUUUCUAAGCUAA